rnacentral:rRNA from 1 species
UGGGGAAUAUUGGACAAUGGGGGGAACCCUGAUCCAGCCAUGCCGCGUGUGUGAAGAAGGCCUUAUGGUUGUAAAGCACUUUAAGCGAGGAGGAGGGUACUGGUAUUAAUACUACCAGCUACUGGACGUUACUCGCAGAAUAAGCACCGGCUAACUCUGUGCCAGCAGCCGCGGUAAUACAGAGGGUGCGAGCGUUAAUCGGAUUUACUGGGCGUAAAGCGUGCGUAGGCGGCUAAUUGAGUCGGAUGUGAAAUCUCCGAGCUUAACUUGGGAAUUGCAUUCGAUACUGGUUAGCUAGAGUGUGGGAGAGGAUGGUAGAAUUCCAGGUGUAGCGGUGAAAUGCGUAGAGAUCUGGAGGAAUACCGAUGGCGAAGGCAGCCAUCUGGCCUAACACUGACGCUGAGGUACGAAAGCAUGGGGAGCAAACAGG